rnacentral:lncRNA from 1 species
GUGCUAAUAAUAAAUCAGUAGUUAUAUCUGGAGACUUAUUUACAGGAAAGAAAAAAGGUUAUAAUACCGCCGAUGUGUUGUUUGCUUCAAAUUCCGUCACUUAGUCACGUAUUUAGACUCAUAGCCAUUUUGUCACGUAACGUAACUUUACGUCAAUCUACACAAAUAUGUAACAGUUAGAUUGCUAGCCACUGUGUGAUAGUUUACCCCUAGAGUGGGCUGUUUUUUUUUGUUGGAUCAUACACCAUACCUACUUUUUACUUCACCCAGGACCUUACAGAAGGACUUAUUCACCACAGCAUCCCACCAGCUUUAUUGUGCCAAGAGGAAAUUCAUUCCUAUCUGGACUUCAACUUCUUAAUAGGGGCUGUGAUAAGAUAAGUUUGUUAACCUUUUAUAUACUUUUGGUCACUAUAUAAUAUAUUUGCUACAGUGUAAACUUUUCGUGUGCAUACGAGAAAGUAAACUACAGUAGGUACAUAUUUGUUUCAUGAUAGAUAGGUUUUUUUGGUCGUUGUUUUGUUUUGAGUCAAUAUAAGUCAUAGUUUC